rnacentral:lncRNA from 1 species
CGGGAUGGACGGCACGUUACCUGCAAACCUCCGGCAGCUCCUCCGGCGACGGCGGGCUCGGCGCCAUGUAGCAGAAGAAGGUGUCCCUCCAGUUCGCCACCGCCGCCGUGUACAGGUCGAAAUUGCUGUUGUACACCACCUUCCUCGUUACGUCUCGCGUGUAGAACGCCUUCUUCGCCUCGUCGUCUUGCUCGUAGAACCGCCUCACCCCCUCCUUCAUCUCCUCCAUCGCGGCCGCCGGGACCCCGUGGUUCACCACCUGGAAGAACCCCAGCGUCUCCGACGCGCGCCGCAUCCCCUCGAUCGCCUCCUUCCUCUUGGCCGGGUCGCGGUCGAUCCCGCCGAGGUCGAUGACCGGGACGCUGAGAUUCUCGGUGCCGCCGCUCGAUCCGGAGCUGUCUUCGGAUGUCUCGUCCGGUCGGAUGAAGAUUCUGGGGACUUCAGUGAUCCCGGCGUCGACGAGGCCUUUGACGCCGGCUUUCGAGUCGUCGAACGCUUUCAGCUCGCUCGCUCUGUCAUAGCUCUGCUCUCCCGAGGCCAAAUCGAUGGUAGGCAAUGUGAAUGUGAAUUUGUUGGAUAUGAGCUUGAAUUAUGAAUUGAAUGUUGGGGAGACAUUGCAAUGCGUGAUAUGAGCAGCUCUUCUUUUAUAGAUGAGAGAUGGAGAUAAGAGAAGAGUGAAAUCACAUUGGGAGGAUCCAUUUGACUUCAGAAUAAUGAGGUCCACAAAAAUGGAAGGAGAAAGUCAUAGCUUAUGAGCUACCACUUGCUUAGAAAAAUGACAAUACUGUUUAAUAAUGGCUGAUUCUUUGGGGGACCAGGUAGCUAGUACACAAGUUUUGCAAUUUAUGGAUAAGAUAUCUGUUAGGACAGAGUUGACCAUUCAUAGAUGACAGGACAAUUAAUUGUCGUCUAAGCGUAUGUAGAUUUUUGCCUUGCGGUUGAUUCUGGUUGUCGUUGAGCAAGUUGAAGGCUGGCAAGAAUUCCACUUUUAAACCUUGCCGUCAAUAUACAUAGUGUAAGUCGAAUCUGAACCAAACAUAAAUGUUCCCAAAAGUGCAGAUUUUUCUCGUGGUAGAUUAGUGUUUUAACUGACAUACAAGCAUUCAACAUAGGUUUAUCUAAAGAUAGCAUCUUUCUUUCCAUUUGAGAGGGGUAUGUGUUAAUCUUCCUCUCCCCCUAUUUUUUGUUCUUUUUCAGGUUCAGCUUUUGUUUGAAAAGGAUCUUUGUUUUUUAGAGUUGCAUGGGUGCUAUCAAAUGAAGCAAUAUAAGCAUUAGCGAAAGCAGUGAAGAAAGGCAAUCCUGUUCUUUGGUAGUUUUACAUAGAUGAACAUCUGGAUGGACUUUUAUUUUCAAAUACAAACAUGAAGAAGACCACAUAAAAAAGUAGCCCCUCCGCUAAUAGAGCUAAUGAAGGGAAAUCCCACCUAAUACCAUGAAUAUCCUCUGCCUGUUAUCUUCUCAUCUUCCUGUUUACAGAGUCUACAGCUUGAAAUGAGGAAGGGCAGAAGUUCCAUAUACGCCCUUGGAAAUGUAAUGGGCAGUGUAGUUUGGAAGUGUAGUCUCCUUGUAGAUUGGUGCGUUGUCUGCUGAUGUUAAUUCCUUGAUGGGUCCAUACAGCCUUGAAGAUGGCUGGGGAGUGUGGCCGAAAAAGCACGCCACCGACACUCUCAGGCCUCUCUUGUUUGCCACAACUCGGUGCUUGACACUCUUAAACUGGUCGCUCAUUAUGAGCUGCGAAUGUAACAAUUAGUGAAUCAUUUUUAGUAAGGAAUGAAUAGAUGUAGUUUCUAGAUACUGCAAUGAUUUCAAUCUUCAUGUUGAUGAAUACAGAAAACUGCAGAAUUUCUAGGACCCACAUAGACCGCUCCUGUGAAAAGUGCUCUACACACAUCCCUCUCAUUUAGACAAUUUUGAACCUGUCAAAGAGAGGCUAGCAUGAUACAACUAAGUUAGAAUCAAGUUUGGAUUAGUCAAGUUCAGAUUAUGAAGACAUUAUGUUAUUGCUACAGGGAAGAUGCCAUGGUAAAUUGUUGGGCUCUUUAACUGGCUUAGCAUAUGAGAAAGUACAGAAGAAGGACGAGAAGAGGAUUGCAGUUUGUCGACCAAUCAAAACAAGGUUUCAGAGAAGCUCAGAGAUGAACGAUGAUAUCUGGCCAAAUCUACUUACUUGCAAUAGAUCUCUGAUGUUGAUCACUAGUGCUCCAGGAAUUGGAGGAACGUUGAUCCACUGGUUCUCAUGAAGCCCUUGAAGUCCUCAAAUUUGAUCUUGGAGGAGAAUUGUGAGGAAGUCAUUGUCCGAAUUCUUUGUCACACCCAGGGUCAACUCAGGUUGGGGGCAUGGCGGAUAGUAGUGGCA